UGACAGUACUCCUACGGGAGGCAGCAGUGGGGAAUAUUGCACAAUGGGCGCAAGCCUGAUGCAGCAACGCCGCCGUGAGCGAUGAAGGCCUUCGGGUCGUAAAGCUCUGUCCUCAAGGAAGAAUAAAUGACGGUACUUGAGGAGGAAGCCCCGGCUAACUACGUGCCAGCAGCCGCGGUAAUACGUAGGGGGCGAAGCGUUAUCCGGAAUCACUGGGCGUAAAGGGGUGCGUAGGCGGUUUUCUAAGUCAGAAGUGAAAGGCUAUGGCUCAACCAUAGUAAGCUUUUGUAAACUAGUUAAACUUAGAGUGCAGGAGAGGAAAGUGGAAUUCCUAGUGUAGAGGUGAAAUUCGUAGAUAUUAGGAGGAACACCAGUGGCGAAGGCGACUUUCUUGGACUGUAACUGACGCUGAGGCACGAAAGCGUGGGGAGCGAACAGGAUUAGAUACCCCUGGUAG
rnacentral:rRNA from 1 species